rnacentral:lncRNA from 1 species
CUUCUUUAAGUUAAAUGAGACUAGAGAGUCUGGGCCUGCGCUCCAUUGUGCUUUGCUUUUCUCUUCUUGUACUCUGCGCUCUCACUCACUCAGGUUAGUUGUUCAACUCUCUUCCUUUCUUUCCACUCUUCUUCUCUAUCUCUCUCUUUAGUAUGCUAUUUCUUGGUUUGAUUUUAAAGUUUUGAUUAUGUGUUUGUUUGUAGUUAACUUAAUCUGAUAAGAGUUAUGCUUUUUAUUGGUUAAUUUUGGAUGGAUUAUAAUUGGGUUUUUUUUAGGGUUUUUAAUUUUGAAUUGUUUUGAUAAUGAAGUUUUUGUUUGGAAUGAGAAAAUAUCAACAAAUUGAUGGGUAGAAUGAUAGACGUUUGAAUUAAGGUUGAACUAAUAGCUGGAAGUAGAACACAGAGCUACAAAGUUCUAAGUAGGGUUCUUGCUUGCUACCUAUAGAAGUUAUGUUGUUUGGGAUUCUCUGUUGCUGUGCAGGAUAUAAAACUAACCCAGCAAAUACCAGGAGCCGUCAACGAAAGUUGCAAAAAAGACUUUUUUUAUUAUUUCAAUAGUAUCAAAUUAUGUGGAUGCUAUGAGCUUUUGGUUGGUGAAGUGAAUAAGCCAUAUGCUCUUUAUUUUUAUUUAUUCAAGAUGUGUUAUAAAACUAGAGGGAGAAAAUGUAGAGAGAAGUGAUAUGCUAAAGACAAAGUUUCACCAUGUUUAUUCUUCUCUAAAUCUUUGGUAGAACCACCUAUUUAUAGGCUUACAAGAUAGG